rnacentral:misc_RNA from 1 species
GAAUGGUCCUCGACCUGAAUCGGAUUCUUCUCAUCCCCUUGCAAAGUUAGGACAUAAGAUUGGCGGACCCGCUGAAAUGCCCUUUCCUGAAGAGGACAGUUUAAUCAUAAGCGAUUCUAUGAAUUUUCAGAAUCUCAUUUCUAUUGGGAAUUCUGCUAAACCUCAACAACUGUUCCCGCACAGCACGCAAGAGAAUAAUGCUUCAAUGCUUAACCCUGCUUACAAAGACGAAAGAC